GGGAGAUGAAAUGUUUCUCUUCGGGUUUCAAGCGGUCCCAGUGUGCCAGGUCUUUGGAUAGAUCAACCUGAAAGACACAACAUGAGAAGUAGUCAUCAAAAUACCAAAAUUGCUAUACCCACCUCCUCCACCGUCCAGAAAGAGGCUUGCGCCUGCUUGUACAUCUUCCAGAUGUCGGGGUACUGGAUGGGGAAGAUGACAAACCGUCUGGGGUUUUCUCUGAGCAACGGUUCUUCCUCUGUGUCUGAACCACUUUGGCAGUCUGGAUCUUUAUCUUUGAAGCCAUUCUACAGAAAGUCAGAGCCCAGCAGAGAGGAAAUCUGGACGUGGUAAAACCUGAUGUGACAGGAAGUGAGGGUCCCAAGGCGGGAGCAUCAGCUCCUGCACUUCCAUGGCAACAACAAUGAGUCAUCUUUGCCCUACAGUGUGGGGCAGCUGCUUUAUAAAAUUAUUGUGUGUGUGGGGAGGUGUGCGUCUCUGGGUGAGCACAUUGUAAUUUUUGAUUCUGUCUUCAAAGUACAGUGUGGAAGGAGAGAACACUGAAACAAAUAUGGAGCCUCAGAGCAGAGCCAGCUGGCCAGUCGUCCCUCCAGCCUCAGAGGAGUGCGGUCGUCUGCCAUGCA